UACGUAGGGUGCAAGCGUUGUCCGGAAUUAUUGGGCGUAAAGAGCUCGUAGGCGGUUUGUUGCGUCGGCUGUGAAAUCCCGAGGCUCAACCUCGGGUCUGCAGUCGAUACGAGCAAACUAGAGUGUUGCAGGGGAGACUGGAAUUCCUGGUGUAGCGGUGAAAUGCGCAGAUAUCGGGAGGAACACCGGUGGCGAAGGCGGUUCUCUGGGCCUUACCUGACGCUGAGGAGCGAAAGCGUGGGGAGCGAACAGG
rnacentral:rRNA from 1 species